rnacentral:rRNA from 1 species
GACAGAGGGUGCAAACGUUGUUCGGAAUUACUGGGCGUAAAGCGUGUGUAGGCGGCUUGGCAAGUCGGAUGUGAAAGCCCUGGGCUCAACCCAGGAAGUGCACUCGAUACUGCCGAGCUUGAGUAUCGGAGAGGUUGGUGGAAUUCUCGGUGUAGAGGUGAAAUUCGUAGAUAUUCGGAAGAACACCAGUGGCGAAGGCGACUUACUGGACGAUUGUUGACGCUGAGGUGCGAAAGCGUGGGGAGCAAACAGG